AAAGAAAACACACUCCGAUUGUCAUGUUUCUGGUUUCACUGAAGUUCUGGUAAGAGCCUUUGAGAAUUCAUCAAGCACGUAGCUAGGAAGCAUAUCACCGGUGCAGUUAGAGAAAAUUGUUCAAACAUGCUUCUCUCCCUUCUGUUGGAGUAAAAUCGGCAAAGAAAAAUUAAUACAAAAUCAGCCUUCUCUUGUUACUGCACAUGUGUGACCUUGCUGCCAUUGAUGCUAUUUGGACGCGACCUUGGAAUUUCCGACUCUUCAAGUGGCAUGUGUUAAAAGAUGAACUCCAGUCUUCCCUCAUUAUUGAUCAUCACUUAUAGCUCAUCAAGCUUUCUCAUCUAUUGGUCUAGCUCUUGUCAACUACUACUGAUAAACAACUACAUAUUCUUAGAGUGUUCUUCUCAUCAAGGUA